rnacentral:pre_miRNA from 1 species
CACUCUGGCCCUGAUCCAAAGCCCACUGAUGCUAAUGGGAGUCUUUCCACUGACGUCAAUGGGCUUUGGAUCAGGCCCCCACUCUG